AGCUAACCCUGAUGGAAACAGCAUCCUUUGCAACCUUUAAACGGUUGCAAAGAUAGCGUGGACAGCAGGAAUAGGG
rnacentral:sRNA from 2 species